rnacentral:lncRNA from 1 species
AGACAAAACAUAACACUUUGCCUCACCGUUGCUCCCUACAAAAAAAAACCCUCCCCUCAUUCGAUUCUGCGCCCAUCUCUCUCUCUUCGCAACCUAGCUCUCCCGAUUUUGCAUCUCUCCCGCUGCUCCUUAACCAUCUUAUCACCACCAUCACUCCCUGCAAACAACAGUUAUGAAUCUAGGGUUUAUAUUUUUUCCAAUUUUGUUCAUCUCUCUAAAAAUCUCAGCCCUAACACAAACAAAAUAGAACAAACAGAGAUUUGGACUGGGUUAAUUUUGUAUUAACAAUAAUUAUGGAGUGCAUCUUGGUUUAAUUUUUGAUUGUGGUUUCAAUUUCUUUUUGUAAUGGUAUGUGUAAUUUAAUACUCCAUUUGUGGCAAAUCUGGGGCUUUUAAUAUCUUGAUCGGUAUGUGGGUUUGCUUUCUUUAUUGACUGGAUAUUUUUUGAGGUCACUUGGCAGCCAAAACUUUGAAUGGUGCUACUCUACGACAAUAUCCCAAAUUGUGUGGUCACUUUUUCUGCACAUAUUUUUUGAAUGGGACAGUAUUUAGGUGGAUAGGUGUAGAUAUGAAUGAUUCGAUUAUCAAUGGUAAGUCUGUAUGAUAAGUUAUAUUACUUGGAAUGCUAUGAUGACUGCAUUCAUUCAUAAUGGGUAUUUCAGAAAGGGAAUCGAACUGUUCCGGAAAAUAUUAGCAAAAAAUUUAAUUUCACAAAAAACUGGAAUUGGGUGUUCUCAAGUUGUUCAAAGGCCAUAUUUUUUACAUGUAUUCUAUAUGUGGGACUCGUGAAAAUUCUGUUCUUUCAUUUUGUGAAGUCCCUAAUAAGGAUCUCCUUUCAUGGACAUCAUUUAUUACUUAAAGUUCUGCUGUUAAUGAACUUGAGUGAAAUAUUUAUAUUGCAUAUAUGUUAUUAGUUGCAUUGUGUUUAGUCUAAUAUUGGUCAUAUGAACUGCAUUUCAAUUCUUCUAUGUGCAACUUUUCUAUUACAAAUCUUUAUCGUUCAUAUGCUUAUUUUAAUUCAGUAACAUAACAGCAAGAAAAUCAACUAAAAUCAAUUAGUUCAUGUUCCUAGCCUCUUAAUUUGUAAGGAUGAUUUUCUGUUUUGUAUGAGCAUCUAUGAAUGUACAUUGUGAUUGUGAUCAGAGGCGGCCUCAACUUAAAACAGCAUGGACCCGAUUCAAACCCAUAAAGAAGGUUUUUAUCUUGUCCGAAUUAUAGAAAAGUAAGUGUGUUAGGGUUUCAAUUUUUUUAUAUAUCUCUUCCAUUCUAUUUACUUGCACAUAAAAUUGAAAUCUUCUUUAUUUACAGAGGAAUGCUUGUCAAUUUUUUGCUUGGUAUGAUCCUCCAAUGUGUGACAGAUCAAGACAAAUAAUCACCGGAUUACUUAGAAAGAUUAACGAAAUGGAGCAAGAGAUGGAGAAAAUGCGUGCAAUAGGAAAAAUGCAAAGAAUAAAAUUUAUUACUGCACUUGUUUGUUCUUGGUUAUUGAUUUUAAUAUUGUCAUUUGAGUUGAUUAAACUUCUAGUAUAGUUUGUUGUAACCUUAUCCAAGAUGGAGUAAAUAUUGUAAUUUGGGUCAACUUCUAGAAUCUGUAAAGAUAGUUUUGUCUUUGUAUUGUUAGAAGUGGUGAUAUUAGCAUUAACAUCAAUUCAUGGCCAAUGUGCACUGAAUAUCUAGUUCUAUAUAUGGAGUAAUAUAUCUAGUUCAAUUCCUA